AGUAGGAUGACCGAAAAUAGGUGAUAAAUUGUAAAUUUAUUUAUGAAUCUUUAUUCUUCUACUA
rnacentral:tRNA from 1 species